AAUUUCUCAACUAUGUCUUGAUUUUCAAGACAUGGCUUGGAGUUGGGGGUUGCUGGCAGUGAAAAGCAGUCGGCUCCCCUGAAAUGCAUUAGCAGAGGGACGAGCAUGUGACGUGCACGGCCUUCGACGUGAUAAUGAUCGUCGUGGGCUGGAGCGUUGUUGGACAUGCAUGAAUCGUUCUUGCUUCCAACUGUGUGGUACUAUCCACGUUCUUUGAA
rnacentral:misc_RNA from 1 species